rnacentral:lncRNA from 1 species
GUCCUGACUACUAUUUACUGUGUGUUUAAUCACAGAGGCUUUGGAGGGAGCCGAAUCUGUCUGGAGAAAGCAAAGCUGAAAAAGUAAUGUUAUUUCAUUUUUUAAUGGGUGAGAAGCUAGACAGAGGGGGUGGGGGGAGGCUGGAAAAUCAAACCACAUUUUGGAGGGGGAAGUGAGGCAGAAUAGUCCCAACUUCAUUUUUGUUCAAUAUGUUAAUGCUAAAUGUUUGACAGCCACACAACUUCUUUAGGGAUUACUCUGCUCCCUGUAUUUAGACUGGUCUUAGCACAAAGAAUAAUGUUUAAGAAUAACAGAAACCUUUAAAAUUAUUAAUUGUAAAGCAGACUGAAAUGAAUAAACCUUGUUUUCCCUCCUGUGUACCCAAGGGGUGGUACUGGCACAGUGCAGGAGCUCCUUGUUGGGUCAGGGGGAUGCAGGAGGUGCUGUGGGAACAGAGCAGGCACCCAUAGGUGGUAGCAGCAGUGUGGCUGUGGGGUUGGGAGCAGUGAAGACAUAGUUGGCUUGUGGUGUUAGAAGCUGCAGAGGGGAGGAGGGGAGUGCUGGAGUUGGGUGGGGGGACUGGCAGGUUGCUCACAGCUGCACUUUAUAGGUCCUGCUUGAGAGCAAAUGUAUUUAUUUAGCUGGGGAAAAGGGGGGAGGGUAUGGCCUGCUGGUUACAAAUAGAUUCUGUUGUAUGGGUUUAAGAUGCAGGAAGAAAAUAGACCAGAUGGGUGUUCUGGAUGGGGGGCUCUUAUCUUUUUUCCAUGCCUUGCUGGGGGUUCAGGGCUGUGUGCUACCCUUUAAUUCUGCUGUUCACCUUCAGCACAGCAAGGCAUUGAGGGCUGCACUAAAUAGGUCUGGAGUAAGUGCAGAUGGAGUGGGACAUGAAAAGUACAACUUGUUACUGAAUUACACAGGCAAUGCCAAAUUAUUUCUCAUCAGACUUGAGAUUUAUUGCAUCUGGAUUAUGGUCUUUUGAUUGUGCAAACAUUGCGAUUGAGGUGGCUGUCCUUUCCAGUAUCAUUAAAGUCUUCGUCAUGAAUCACAAGAACUAGAAAUCUGGAGAUGGACUGAAGAAAAACACAGGCAAAUAUUCAAAAUGCAGCAGACUGAAAAGAGCAAACUGGAUCACACUCAUAAAGCUCACAGAAGAGUACCUAACCAUUGGAACAGAAUGCCUGAGCCUUGUAACAAAUCGUAUUAGAAAAUCAUGAAAUGGACCAUUAAUUCCUUUGCAUAACAACAACAACAACAACAACAACAAUAAUAAUAAUAAUGUAAAAAAGAAUUAGAAAUAAUACUGCAGUGAGCUGUUAUUAUUAAAAUGCUA